GUGAAUUAGGGUCCGAGUUGGGAGACGACCUCUUGGAUGAAUAUGAAUUGAACCAAUCUCAUGCGAACGGUCUUCCAGAUAUUACGAAAAGCGUAACAGGUUUCGAAGAAAUUUCAACCGACGCCGAGAAUUUGGAUAGAUGGGAAAACGCUGAUGGUAAAUUGAAAGGCUCUCCUCUUGUUGCCAGAGAUGAAUCGUUUUCUAGGAAGGAAAUGUAUAACCCAACGCAAUCCAAAGAAUCUGGUGAAGAAAGUGAGAGCCAGGAUGAGGUUUUGAACGAUUCUCAUUCUAAUUCGAGUGGAAAUGAGUCAUUUGCCAUGAAAUCUGGAGAAGAUGGAAAAGAGAGCGAUCAUAUAGACAGUGUAAAUGAUAUUUCGAGCAAUGAUUUGGGUGGGGGAGAUGGAGAUUCGAGUGAGAAAAUAGAUGUGGGAGUGGGAAUGGCAAUUGAGGAAGUGAAAGUAG
rnacentral:misc_RNA from 1 species